rnacentral:rRNA from 1 species
GACGAACGCUGGCGGCGUGCCUAAUACAUGCAAGUCGAGCGAAGUUUUUCUGGUGCUUGCACUAGAAAAACUUAGCGGCGAACGGGUGAGUAACACGUAAAGAACCUGCCUCAUAGACGGGGACAACUAUUGGAAACGAUAGCUAAUACCGGAUAACAGCAUAAAUCGCAUGAUAUAUGUUUAAAAGUUGGUUUCGGCUAACACUAUGAGAUGGCUUUGCGGUGCAUUAGCUAGUUGGUGGGGUAAAGGCCUACCAAGGCGACGAUGCAUAGCCGACCUGAGAGGGUGAUCGGCCACACUGGGACUGAGACACGGCCCAGACUCCUACGGGAGGCAGCAGUAGGGAAUCUUCCGCAAUGGGCGAAAGCCUGACGGAGCAACGCCGCGUGAGUGAAGAAGGAUUUCGGUUCGUAAAGCUCUGUUGUUAGGGAAGAAUGAUUGUAUAGUAACUAUAUACAGUAGAGACGUACCUAACCAGAAAGCCACG